ensembl:lncRNA
GGUCCGGUUCAGCAGGGGUCUGAGCUCUCUCUGUGAGCACUGCAGGCCAGUGGAUGAUUAUUCACCAGCUUUCCUGGUAGGACCGCCCCCACACCUCACCUCCUCCUCUAGGGUGGGGUCUGAGUCAUGGGGACCACGGGCACGACCUCACUGGAGUGGCCUGGCUAGAAUUUGAACCCAGUUCUGCAGAAUCCCUCAUUUGGUUCCAGCAGCCCGCAGAGGAAGGCACGCAAGACCCCUGAACUGGACCCUUCAGCCCAGCCCAGCUCCCAGCCCUGGAGAGGCGAAGGUCAGGCACGCACAGACCUCUGUAACUGACCUGAAUGGGGACAAGUGUCCAUUCAUCAGUCUCCUGCUGAACACUUACCGUGUGCCAGGUCCCCUGCUGAGUGCUGCCACGUAUGCAUUGAUGCGACCCAGGCCCUGCACUUGGUGAAGAGAUGGCCAGACAAGGUGAGAUCAGUCUGGGGGGUGGGGUGGGGAGCCCGGGUCCACCGCACAUGCACAUUUCCUGUCUAGCAGGCAAGAGAAAUCUGGAGUGCAAUCAGAGGCUGCCUAAGAGGAAUGGAGAAGGUUCUGCAUUCUUGGAUUCAAC